rnacentral:rRNA from 1 species
AGAGUGUGGGAGAGGAAGAUGGAAUUAGUUGUGUAGGGGUAAAAUCCGUAGAGAUAACUAGGAAUACCAAAAGCGAAGGCAAUCUUCUGGAACACUACUGACGCUGAGGCGCGAAGGCGUGGGGAGCAAACAGGAUUAGAUACCCUGGUAGUCCACGCAGUAAACGAUGAAUGUUAGGCGUCGGGUAGCUAGUCUAUUCGGUGAUGCAGCUAACGCAUUAAACAUUCCGCCUGGGGAGUACGGUCGCAAGAUUAAAACUCAAAGGAAUAGACGGGGACCCACACAAGUGGUGGAGCAUGCGGUUUAAUUCGAAGAUACGCGAAGAACCUUACCUAGCCUUGACAUAUAUUAGAACAGACCAGAGAUGGACUGGUGCCUUCGGGAGCUUUUAUACAGGUGCUGCACGGCUGUCGUCAGCUCGUGUCGUGAGAUGUUGGGUUAAGUCCCGCAACGAGCGCAACCCUCGUCACUAGUUACUAACGGUUCGGCCGAGGACUCUAGUGAGACUGCCUUCGCAAGGAGGAGGAAGGUGAGGACGACGUCAAGUCAUCAUGGCCCUUACGGCUAGGGCAACACACGUGCUACAAUGGCCAGGACAAUGAGACGCGAUACCGCGAGGUGGAGCAAAUCUAUAAACCUGGUCUCAGUUCGGAUUGUAGUCUGCAACUCGACUACAUGAAGCUGGAAUCACUAGUAAUCG